rnacentral:rRNA from 1 species
AUUGAACGCUGGCGGCAUGCCUUACACAUGCAAGUCGAACGGUAACAGGUCUUCGGAUGCUGACGAGUGGCGAACGGGUGAGUAAUACAUCGGAACGUGCCUAGUAGUGGGAGAUAACUACUCGAAAGAGUGGCCAAUACCGCAUGAGAUCUACGGAUGAAAGCAGGGGAUCGCAAGACCUUGUGCUACUAGAGCGGCCGAUGGCAGAUUAGGUAGUUGGUGGGAUAAAAGCUUACCAAGCCGACGAUCUGUAGCUGGUCGGAGAGGAAGAGCAGCCACACUGGGACUGAGACACGGCCCAGACUCCUACGGGAGGCAGCAGUGGGGAAUUUUGGACAAUGGGCGAAAGCCUGAUCCAGCAAUGCCGCGUGCAGGAUGAAGGCCUUCGGGUUGUAAACUGCUUUUGUACGGAACGAAAAGCCCCGGGUUAAUACCCUGGGGUCAUGACGGUACCGUAAGAAUAAGCACCGGCUAACUACGUGCCAGCCGCCGCCGUAA